CUGCGCCCGGCUCAUUCAUCUUCCUUAUUUCCCUCAACCUGCUGUCUCUCUUUUUCUGUCAUUCCCUUCUGCUUUUUCCCAGUCCAGGUUUGAAUACCCGCCUCCAAGUGAUAGGAAAGAACAGCCAAGUUUGAAUGCACACUGAUGUUUCAGGACCAUGGACAGUAGCAUCGGUUGCCCAGGAAAGUACAAAUGGACAUUGGGAGGCCGAGGUGGGCAGAUCACGUGGGCAGGAGAUCGAGACCAUCCUCGCCAACAUGGUGAAACCCUGUCUCUACUGAAAAUACAGAAGUUAUCUGGGCGUGGUGGCGUGCACCUGUAAUCUCAGCUACUCGGGAGGCUGAGGCAGGAGACUCACUUGAACCCGGGAGGUGGAGGUUGCAGUGAGCCGAGAUCGCGCCACUGCACUCCAGCCUGGUGACAGAGCG
rnacentral:lncRNA from 10 species